rnacentral:rRNA from 1 species
AUGAACGCUGGCGGCGUGCCUAAUACAUGCAAGUCGAACGGAGAAUGUAGCAAUACGUUCUUAGUGGCGAACGGGUGAGUAACGCGUGGGCGACCUGCCCUAAAGUGUGGGAUAACAAUUCGAAAGGGUUGCUAAUACCGCAUACGGUCUCCGGGAUUAGAUGCCUGGCGACUAAAGGAGUAAUCCGCUUUGGGAGGGGCCUGCGUCCCAUCAGCUAGUUGGUAAGGUAACGGCCUACCAAGGCGAUGACGGGUAGGGGACCUGAGAGGGUGGCCCCCCACAAUGGAACUGAAACACGGUCCAUACACCUACGGGUGGCAGCAGUAGGGAAUAUUGCUUAAUGGGCGAAAGCCUGAAGCAGCAACGCCGCGUGUGCGAUGAAGGCCUUCGGGUUGUAAAGCACUUUUUGAGGGGAUGAGGAAGGACAGUACCCUCAGAAUAAGCCUCGGCUAACUACGU